GGAUGAGGCAUCACUCACAGGAACCACUCUGCUGGAGGUUACUGCCCUCCCAGUUCUGCUGGCAAAAGGGACUUUGAUCCUAUCAAUAACAAGUACUAAGACAAGGAAGAGAUAGAAAAAGGCUGAAGAGAAACAUGCAGUUGUCAUUGCAAGAUUUGUUCAGCUUUCCUACAAGAAAGUACAGCUGAAUGAUGUGUGUCCAGCUACAUGAUAAGUUCAUCUUGACACACACAAAGGAGCACAGUGGAAAAAUGGCAUGUGGGGGAGCCCAAAUAAUACUGAAGACCCAGCUGUUCCCAGGCCUAUCAUGGGAGAGUGAUAAACCCAUAAAAAAGGUAAUUUCCACAAACAUGCAAGAGCAAGGAGGAAAGAACAAUAACUUGCAGCGGAAACUUCGCAAACAAGCUGGAGAAACGCACGUCCUUCCCUUUCCCUCCCUUGGCUAUCUCAAGAGACUGUCAGUUCCAGUGUUCAGCUAUGACACUUCUCAGAUGAGUCAAGGGGAGCAACUCUGUGGUUCGCAUCUCAGACUGAGGGGAAGCACAUUUGGGGAUUAUACAAAACAAUGGGAUGUUUAGGGAAGGACCAAAGGUGAGGAAAGGGUGAUUUAAGUGUUUUGGGGAGGAAAAGGCAUGGAAAAUAGAGGGAGAAGGGGAUAAGAGUCUUGUUGCUUGUAAACAGUGCUGGUCAGUAUAUAUGCCUAGCCAUGUCUUACACACGCCAUCACCACACUCUGCCUUGUCUUUCCAUAAAACUCUGCUUCUGAAUAUUUUCUUGUAUAAGGGGACUCUCGUGUAUGAAUGUAUUUAUACAGAGGUCUAAAUUCCAGUGACUGAAGUAAAACCACAGGCCAGAGAGAGCCUGUGUGUCUGGGUUGCCAGCAAUGGUAGUGAAUGAGUGUACACAAGUCACUGCUUGAGCAAGUAUCAAGUCAGCCUAGCCAGGGAGUAGCUUAACUCCCUUGGCACCAGAUAUUCAUACGUGUGUGUCUGUGGUUGAGGCAACUGAAGGAGCCGGUUACUGGAGAGACCAGGGGAGUCCUGGCCAGCUGCUGGAGAGACUGUGGACUGUAGAAGUUGGUUGGGAGACCCAUUUGUGUGCAUGCAUAUCUACAUGGAAGACAAUGGAGGAAAGCCUAUAGUGCUGCUUACUGCAUUACUGCUUACUGUACAUGUAAGUCUCAACACAGGCAGUUGGAGUGGAGUUGUGGCUUUGGAGGUGACAUACCCAGGUGUGAGCAACUGAGAAGACUGGGAUCCAGGAGCAGCUAUUGUGAAGGCUGUUAGAGUCCAGCUGCUGGAGGGAUCCAUGUGAACAUGUAUGUAUUCUCACUAUUGGAUCUUCAUCCUGAUCAGCGACACAAGGGAACAGGAUGAGGCUGUUUGUACUGUUUGUAUUUUUGCAAGUACUACAUGUGACUGUAUGCACAUGCAUACAGUGUGGCUUGCUGUGUAUGCAUGUGAAUGUAUAUUGUAUGUGUGUGUUUAUGGGUGUGUCUAUUGGGAAUACAUGCUCCUGGUUGAACCUAGGGGCAUGCAGCUGUGGCAGCCUUGCCUCUUGGUGUCAUAUUUGGCAACUCCCUAAUAUAUGUAGUAAGUGGCAUAUAAAGUCUUUGAGAUUUAGAUAAGUUGAAAUUGACUUAUCUGCAUAAGGAUUACAUAUGCUUUUUUAAAUGCAUUUAUUAAUUUUUGGGGGAGGACGUCAUUUCUUUUUCUACAUAAAAUGAUUUUAUUACCUAUCUACUUUUAGUAAAAUAUUUCUUGCACAGAAUGUUCUUAACUAAACAACUAAACCACGUAAUUUGUUGGACCUGCUUUUGCAGAAGUAGGCCCAGACAUGAGAAAUUUUAGUAGCAGUAAUAAGGUGCUUCCAAAAAAUGUCACAGAGAUUGAUAGUAAUGAAGGGACUGACAAACAAGAUAAGGAUGGUAUCACCUGAAGUGCUCCCAGUCUUACUGUCUCUGGAAGACCCCUUGUCUUCAGAAUUGUUAUUACUGCAAAUGAUGCUGCUAUAGAAAAUUAAGGUACACCUGAAAUCAGGCACUGAUCUUAAAUGGUUUCCAUUGCACGUUUUCUUGGACUUUAACCAAACAAGAUAUAAUGUGCAUGUGUGUCUGAGAGCACAUAAUAAUAACUCUUUCAAGGUGAAAACAAACAAACAAAUUAUUCAUAUACAUUUAUUAAGACUUAUAAUUUCCUCUUGAAUAGGGGAAAAAUGUAUUCUUGCUUCAGCAAACGUUAAAAUUCUUCUGUCACUCUUAAAAUAAGCUAACAGCUGGCUGCGUCUUCUAAAUUGCAGGCAUAAUUGUAUUAUUUUAAGGUCAAUUAUCAUGUUAAAGCAUUUUCACUUGGCUUAGAAAUUGUUAUCUAACUAUGACUUUUUCUUUUUUUUCAAACCUUGAAAUAUUUAAAUGUGAUUAAAUUGAUUUAAUAUAUGAUAUUCCCACCUGCAUGUCAUUUCUGAUGUACAUCUGCCACACACAAAAUUAAAAGAUAAGUAACAUGAUUACAAUCAAAUUAGUGAGCCUGUGCAAGUAAAUGAGAUUGCAAAUCUAGAUGAGUGAAAACUGAACUUCCUAGUGAGACCACUUUGCAUUGCAUUAGCUUAAAAUGAAUUUUCAACUUUCAUAUAUUGACUGGAAAAUCCAGGCUUUGUAACCAUACUGUACAUGUGCAGAAAACUUUCCCUUUGCUG